CAGCCGCCGCGGUAAUACAGAGGGUGCAAGCGUUAAUCGGAUUUACUGGGCGUAAAGGGCGCGUAGGUGGUUAUUUAAGUGAGAUGUGAAAGCCCCGGGCUUAACCUGGGAACUGCAUCUUAUACUGGGUAACUGGAGUGCAGUAGAGGGUAGUGGAAUUUCCGGUGUAGCGGUGAAAUGCGUAGAUAUCGGAAGGAACACCAGUGGCGAAGGCGGCUACCUGGACUGAGACUGACACUGAGGCGCGAGAGCGUGGGGAGCAAACAGGAUUAGAUACCCCCGUAGUCCCUGUCUCUUAUAC
rnacentral:rRNA from 1 species